rnacentral:lncRNA from 1 species
UUGAUGGACAUUUGAGUUGUUUUAAGUUUUUGGAUGUUACAGAUUAAGCUGCUGUGAACAUAUGUGUACAAGUGCAGUCUGAGAGUUCAAGUUGUUCUGCAUCCUUCCAACAGUUGGUAUAGUCAGUUGUAUAGCCAUUCUAAUACAUGCAUAGAAGUACCUCAUUGUGAUUUUAUUUAUUUAUUGAGACAGUGUCUUGCUCUGUUGCCCAGGCUGGAGNNNN